rnacentral:lncRNA from 1 species
AUGAUGUUGAGGUUGAGAGAAAGAGGCACAGGAGCCCAUCUGUGGACACAGCGUGGUGAUUUUUCUUCAUCGUGUCAUCUUUGGAGAGAAUCUGAGAAGCGGAGCAUUCCUUCAUUCACUCGCCCGAUGAGCAAAUGUUUAGGUGCCUCGAACGUGCCAGGCACUGAACGAUGCGCUUCGGGCCUGACUAGACAUGGUCUCUCCUCUCAUGGAGCUCACAGGACAGCAAGGAAACGUCAUUCGCCAGAUACUCCCCAAACAAAUGUUCGAACGUGAGCUGUGACAGGUGCUACAAGGAUGGGACAUAGGAUGAUUUGACCCAGUCUGAGAAAAUGGAGUUUGGGCUGGAAUCUAAAGGAUGGAAAGGUGUUCCCCGGGCCAAGGGAGGAAAGGGCGCACUUCGUUAUAGGGGAACAGCUGGAGUGGCUGGCUGUGGUGUGGGAUUGGAUGCAGUCGGUGUGGCUGCUGUGGAGGCAGGAAGAGCGUGUGUCACGGGACAUGAGGGCAGGUGACCUAGGGCUUUGGGAGCCACGCUAAUAAGUUCGGCUUGAUGCUGAGGGUGAAGGGAAGCCCCUGAAGUUUCCCCAAGCUGGUGUGUGUGUGUGACACGACUAGGUCUGUGCUCUGCAAAGGUCACGUGGCUGCAUUGUGAGGAAUGAGCCAAAAUGGGCUCAGGUGCCCAGAGCAGGUAGGUGGCUAUUGCACUAGUUGGGAUGUGAAAGGUCGGGGUACCUUGCAUCAGGAUAAAGAUGUAGGAAGUGGGCGGCGGGGGGGGGGGGGUAUUAAAGAAGCAUUUAGGAGAUAAAAUCAGCAGAACUCGGUAACCAAUGGGACGCGAGGAGUGUGAGAAAGAGAAUGUGUGUGGGUUUCUCCCGGGCUUGCUCAGCGGGGCGGGUGGAGCUACCACACAGGGCGCCAGAAACCAGAGGAGGAGGAGAUUAAGUGUUCAGGCUUAGACGCACUGAGUUGGAGGAACCUUUAAGAUGUUCAAAAAGAGAUGUCAGGUAGGCAGUGGAUGUCUCAGUCAGGAGCUCGGAGAUAAUAUGCGUGAGUCAUUUGCAAAUUGUGUGCACCGAUCUGUGAACCAACCAGCUGGUGUGGGUUCUAGUCCCAGCUUCAUUGAUCAAAUCACUGCCUGGCCCUGGGACUCUCUCUCCAUUGGGGGGGGGGGGACCAAAGCUCCCUCCAGCUGUAACGUUCUCUGAAUCUGUGAGCAUAUGAGGAUGAAGCAUUGCCCAAGCCUCCCUGAAUCGUCCCUCCCCGCCCCCUCCCCCCGACAAAACCGGGGAAAGAAGUGUCCUGGCUCUCUUAGACUGGCCAUUGGGAAGUUCUCAUUGUGACCUUG